UUUAAAUAUUAUUUACGUAUCAUUGGCGAGGAAAUAGUAAUUUAGCGAUGAAAAAGGUAUUAGAUUAGGCGAGGAAAAAUAUUGUGGCUAAAGAAUAAUAGCGAGAAAAGAAUAUAUUCAUUGCUAAAAGGAUUUCGCGAGGAAAAAAUAUUUUCCUCGUAAAAACUUUUCUUGACCACCGUACCGCGAGGAACUGGUGACCAAAGUUUUUUCCUCGCUAAAACACUACGGCGAAGAAAUAUCAGUUUUUAACGACAAAUUUGUUCCUCGCCAAUUGACUUUUCUGUUGUAGUGAGAAGAAGAGACAUUUCCAUUGUCUAACAAAUUCCUCCUAGAAAACAUAAAGAGAAGAGCUGAAAUAUAAGCUAGGUUUCAGAUAUCUGAGAGGUCUUCAUAUAUCAAGGAGUAGCUAUGUAGCAGAACUCCUUGAGGAUCACAUAUUAUAGUCAUAGUAUAUGAAGUCUAAACCCUUCUAACAUCAUUACAUGUAAGUGACUUGGCAUAAUGUGCACAACGUAGAAAGAGUGGGAUGCAUUCGUGGCACAACGUAGUUCAGAGGCAUGGAGGGUAAGUGACUUGGCAUAAUGUGCUUUUUUGUUUCUACAAAUAAUAGUUGAUUUUUCUGAAAGUAUUUGGUGUUAUGAUUUGCAGGAAAUGAGUGACAAAAUGAAGGCAAUAAGGGGUAGACAACUUCUUCCUCACACUCUGAGCCGAAAAGGUUAUGCAAGAAAUGAACAUGAUCAUGUAAGUUAAAAAUUGUUCGAAGAAUCCAUAAUUUAAAUAUUUUACAGCUGAUUUUUAAAUUAUUGAUAAGACGUAUUUGCACACGCAUCAAUUAACCCUGUCAACAAAUCAGUCGUAGUAUAAAGCAAGCAAGGAUCGUUCUAAACCGGGGAUCCAACUACAGGGUAGAUCCAUCUAAUCUAAUGUAAAUAUCGAAAUAAGCAUAUAGGUUUAAAGGUUUUAUGAUUUCGGAACAACAUUAAUAAUAAAUCCUAAAUUACUUCUAUACAUAUAUACAUGUGAUCAACCAACAAUCAUGCAAACACAACCAAACAACCAUGUAAGAACAAAGAAGACGAU
rnacentral:lncRNA from 1 species